UUCUCUUUGCUCAGUUUCUCAAACAUCUUCACCCUUAUAUCUCUUCCAGAUUCCACCCUCUCCAUCACAGGCUCUUCUUCACAACUCUGAUCCCAAAGAUCAAAAUGAUUAACCCUACCACGACUCGGCACCUGUGUAGGUGUCGAUGGUAGGCUACAGAAUCCGGGUCGGAUCACGGGUCCUCUCGGAGAUCCGAAUCUAGGAGAACCCAUUUGAACAUUCCAUGAAGAAGGUAAUGACUUCAUGGUACCAAGUUGUAAGUUUCUCAGAGAAGCCACCAUUUCAUUCACAGAGCUAGAACCCACAGAUCUUCCCAAAGAUCGAGUCAUCGGAGACAUCGGAGGAGACUCCACCGGUGGAGAAACCGAACCAGGAGAUGAC
rnacentral:lncRNA from 1 species